rnacentral:rRNA from 1 species
GACGAACGCUGGCGGCGUGCUUAACACAUGCAAGUCGAACGGAAAGGCCCUGCUUUUGUGGGGUGCUCGAGUGGCGAACGGGUGAGUAACACGUUAGUAACCUGCCCUUGACUUUGGGAUAACUUCAGGAAACUGGGGCUAAUACCGGAUAGGAGCUCCUGCUGCAUGGUGGGGGUUUGAAAGUUUCGGCGGUUGGGGAUGGACUCGCGGCUUAUCAGCUUGUUGGUGGGGUAGUGGCUUACCAAGGCUUUGACGGGUAGCCGGCCUGAGAGGGUGACCGGCCACAUUGGGACUGAGAUACGGCCCAGACUCCUACGGGAGGCAGCAGUGGGGAAUAUUGCACAAUGGGCGGAAGCCUGAUGCAGCAACGCCGCGUGCGGGAUGACGGCCUUCGGGUUGUAAACCGCUUUCGCCUGUGACGAAGCGUGAGUGACGGUAAUGGGUAAAGAAGCACCGGCUAACUACGUG